UAAAGAAGAUAAAAAGCUUGAGCUCUAUAAGGCAAGUUUUCUGCGUUUGGCUAACUGUUAUUUAUGGACGAUGGGUCGAAUCUUGUGUGUGCUGCUGUAUUUUAAGGGGACUUUUGCUAGUUCAAACAUUGCAACAAGACUUCUGAUGUUUUGAAUUGAAUAGACGAGAGUUUAAAUAUAAUCUUUUCACUGUGAAUUAUUAAAGAGGUACCAAAAUAAAAGCGAUAAACAUUAAGAAUGAGACGAAACCUUUGUGCCUCCCUAAGACUUUUUAGGAGUCUCUCCAGGAAUAAUCUCAAUUUUAAGGAAAGAAUUUGAAAUGAAGAAGAAAAUUCUCUAGGAGUAAGACUAGUUCUACUUCUGAUUGAGAAGAGGCUUGUUAAUUCGAUAAGGAAAGAUCUAGUUACUAUUACAAACCAAUUAAAAUUUGAAUUAAGUUAUCAGUUAACUCGUAAUUGAAUGUCUAAACCAACAAACUACAUAUAAUGUAACAGUUGCGAAUAUAAAAUUACAAAAAUACUGCCGAUUAUAGACCAAAUUGAAUAUGCCAAUCUUUAGGAAUUCUUUUCAGCAUCAUGGGAUUUAGAUUUCAAUAAUCAUUUUUAUUUGAGUAUGGUGACAUCUGGAAGACCAGAACUAUUAAGUAUCUGAUGGUAGUCAUUUUUAUUAUUAUUUAUUUAUCUAUUGUUGUUUUGCGUCUCUUCUUGAAUAUGAACAUUUUUUCUUGUAGGUCGAACUAAACCAAGUUCGUCACAUGGUAGCUGAUAUUGUAUGUUUUGAUGAAAAUCUAGAACUGAGGUUGGCACUAUAUACAAAGAGUACCUUAUUUGCUCCCUCUAUAAGCUGCUCAUUGUACUUGUUUUACCUAGACUUUUAAGUUACCCCUUCAUUUUUUCCCUUUUUAUUUAAUUUGGUUAUUGCUUAUUAGAAUCCUCAACGUUACAGAUGCUGAGGAAGAAAAAUUCAAGACCAGGGAAAAUAUGGAAAUCUUAAACUUAUAGCUGUUUUUUAACAUCGAAAGUUUACUUUCGAAGGGUUGGGAAAAACAAAUAUAGGACUAGCUUAAAAUGGUUAAACUUUAGUCAUGCAUUGCCCUUUUAUUGAAAUCAGAAACCUUACAAAUGUUAAAAAUAGAAUAAUAAAUAAAUCAUUAGAUUUUCAAAAUAAGUUACCAUCAUGUAGAAUUAAAACAAAAGUUAAAUAUAAGGUUUUUCUUGUCAUUGGGGGGUGUGUGUCUGUGUUCUCAAUCUAUUGUGAGGAAUGUAUUUUAUAUUGCUGAAAAGAAUCUCGAGUUAUAAGCCAAGAAUAUGUAUUUAUCAUAUCUUAUAUUUUCUGUGUAGUCCCAGCAAAUGAAUUGUACUUUCAAACUGAAAUUUUAAAAUUUUCAGGAUGAUGAAAUGAACAGCAUUAGAAUUCUGAUUAAUUCAGCCAU
rnacentral:lncRNA from 1 species